AGUGAACGCUGGCGGUAGGCCUAACACAUGCAAGUCGAACGGCAGCACAGUAAGAGCUUGCUCUUCCGGGUGGCGAGUGGCGGACGGGUGAGGAAUACAUCGGAAUCUACUUUUUCGUGUGGGUUAACGUAGGUAAACUUACUCUCAUACCGCAUACGACCUACGGUUGAAAGCAGUGGAUCUUCUCACCUUGCGCGGUUGAAUGAGCCGCUGUCGGAUUAGCUAGUUGGCGGGGUAAAGACCCACCCAGGCGACGAUCCGUAGCUGGUCUGAGAGGAGGGUCGGCCACACUGGAACUGGGACAGGGUCAAGAGUCCUAAGGGAGGCAGCAGUGGGGAAUAUGAGACAGUGGGGGGAAGCAUGAUCCAGCCAGAGCGAGUGGGAGAAGAAGGCGUUGGGGUUGUAAAGACGGUUUGUUGGGAAAAAAAAGCAGCAGGUUAAGACCACGCUGGAGUGACGGUAACCAAAGAAGAAGCACCGGCUAACUUCGUG
rnacentral:rRNA from 1 species